CGACCCCCGCGGGGCCGCCAAAGGCUGCUCCGUGCAAGCCUCAAGGGCCCUGGGCCACCGGCACCUUGAGCGGCUCGGGGCGUUGCUACCCACUGGCCAGGGAGCACUCGGGCUGCCCUACCGGGAGCUGCCGGCACCGGGGCACCGGCUUCUCGAGGUUUGGGGGUGCCAGGUCUUGGAAAUUUUGUCACAGAGGUGUAGAACAGUUUCCAGCUCUCCUUUCCGGGGCUUGAAACCCACUACUGUAGAGGCAAGGAGGGAAGGAAGGAAAUCCCAGACGGGAGCAGCUCCGACAUCUCUCUGUGCCAAGCACAGUCCAUAGGAGGACAAGUUUAUGCCAGCUGCAUGUCUAAGCUAUAGCCAUCAUUUUAUUGUAUUUCCAACAGAGGAGCAAACACAUGGAGAGAUGGAAAUGGGGUGAGUAGAGGAGAGUCUGAUGUGGCAGAGGACAUCCAGGGACCUCUUUAUUUCCAGUCCCAUUCUAGCAUUUCAUUAAGAGGCUCUGCUGCCCAGCAGCUGAUUCCUAUCCCUUAACUUCUGCUCCAAGUCCACUCCACAACCUGCUUUUCCAUAAUUCCUCUCAAUCCAGCAUCUUUUGGGGAGUUUUGAGGUGCAGUUUUGGCUCAUUUGCAUUGGGCUCGGAGCACAUCCAGUUCACUCAUGUGCUCUGGCAAGAGAGCAACGCGUGCCCGGAGCUGCGCAUGAUCCCAAGCUAAGCAAAGCACGGCUGUGUCUGCACUGCCUGUCCUGGGGAGAAGAGCAAGUGCAAGGAGCCUCUCUGGCAGGAGUACACGAGCCUGACAUGUGAUAGCCUUCAAUGACAACUGUGAAAGAAGGAUUGAUGGACUUGCCAUAAUUCGCAGAACGGGGAGCUUGGGCAGGAGAAGGACUUGUGCUUCUAGGAACAGGCAGGCAAAGUGGUCCAUCACCCACAAGGCAAGCCAGCCACAACGGGCACGAGCUCCCAGCACUCAUCACGUUAACAGGCAAGUCACCUCACUUCCAGCUUCACUGCUGGGCUGGUCCUUACAAAACUAGCCAGUGUGCUUGCCCCAGAAAUUGGAGAGAGGAAGAGGAUUUUACAAGUCCUUCCCUCCACUCUUGCACCUUAACUGACAGCAAAUAAUAUGAACACCUCUUACACAUGAGAGUUUUAAAGUCCCAUAGCUGCUCUAACUUCCUACCCUACUGCUCCACUGCCUUUCCAGAUUUUAUAUUAAACCCCAGAAAAUAAAUAGGGAAUUGAUUUCCCCCA
rnacentral:lncRNA from 1 species